rnacentral:rRNA from 2 species
ACGCUGGCGGCGUGCCUACACAUGCAGUCGAGCGGAACGAGUUAUCUGAACCUUCGGGGAACGAUAACGGCGUCGAGCGGCGGACGGGUGAAUAAUGCCUGGGAAAUUGCCCUGAUGUGGGGGAUAACCAUUGGAAACGAUGGCUAAUACCGCAUAAUAGCUUCGGCUCAGAAAGGGGGACCUUCCGGCCUCUCGCGUCAGGAUAUGCCCAGGUGGGAUUAGCUAGUUGGUGAAGUAAUGGCUCACGAAAGCAACCAUCCCUAACUGGUCAGAGAGAAUGAUCACCCUCACUGGAACUGACACACGGUCCUCACUCCUACGGGAGGCGUCAGUGGUCAAUAUUGCUGGAUGGACGCCUGCCUGAUGCACCCCUGCCGCGUGUAUGAAGAAGGCCUUCGGGUUGUAUCGUACUUUCAGCAAUGACGAAUGCGAGAGUAUUUGCUCCCCAUUCGUUUGAACUUAACUGAAAACAACCGCCGAGCUAACUCCGUGCA